UACGUAGGGCGCAAGCGUUAUCCGGAAUUAUUGGGCGUAAAGAGCUCGUAGGCGGUUUGUCGCGGUCUGCCGUGAAAGGUCCGGGGCUCAACUCCGGAUCUGCGGUGGGUACGGGCAGACUAGAGUGAUGUAGGGGAGACUGGAAUUCCUGGUGUAGCGAUGAAAUGCGCAGAUAUCAGGAGGAACACCGAUGGCGAAGGCAGGUCUCUGGGCAAUUAACUGACGUGAGGAGCGAAAGCAUGGGGAGCGAACAGG
rnacentral:rRNA from 1 species